UUUAUUAAUAGAUAUAUCUUAUAUUUAGAAAAAUAGUCAUCAAACUAUAAAAUUACUACAUAUCUAUAUAUACAUUUUUGCAGCCAUUUUAGCAAAUAAAUCCUCUACUUGACACUUAUUUACAAUCUAAUGCCAUUAGCGUUAAAUCUUUUUUUCAAAAUAAUUAAUUUUACUUUAAAUUUU
rnacentral:sRNA from 1 species